AGAGUUUGAUCCUGGCUCAGAGCGAACGUUAGCGGCGGGCCUAACACAUGCAAGUCGAACGAGAAAGCUUCUUUCGGGAAGUGAGUAGAGUGGCGCACGGGUGAGUAACGCGUAGGUAAUCUACCCUUAUAUUUGGGAUAACAUUGGGGAACUGGUGCUAAUACCGAAUGGUCUUCAUUACUGUAAGGUGAUGAAGUAAAGGUGGCCUCUUCAUGAAAGCUACCGUGUAGGGAUGAGCCUGCGUACCAUUAGCUAGUAGGUGGGGUAAUGGCCCACCUAGGCUACGAUGGUUAGCGGGUCUGAGAGGAUGAUCCGCCACACUGGAACUGGAACACGGACCAGACUCCUACGGGAGGCAGCAGUGAGGAAUAUUGCGCAAUGGGGGAAACCCUGACGCAGCGACGCCGCGUGAGGGAUGAAGGCUUAUGGGUUGUAAACCUCUUUUGAUUGAGUCGAGAGGCUCAGUAGAAUAAGCACCGGCUAACUACGUGCCAGCAGCAGCGGUGAUACGUAGGGUGCAAGCGUUGUCCGGAUUUAUUGGGCGUAAAGAGUUCGUAGGCGAUUUGGUAAGUCGUGUUUCAAAGACCGAGGCUCAACUUCGGAAAGGGAUGCGAUACUGCCAGAAUUGAAGGACUUAGGGGUUACUGGAACUUAUCAUGUAGGAGUGAAAUCCGUUGAUAUGAUAAGGAACACCAAGGGCGAAGGCGAGUAACUGGGAGUCUCUUGACGCUGAGGAACGAAAGCCAGGGUAGCGAAACGGAUUAGAGACCCGUGUAGUCCUGGCCGUAAACGAUGCUCGCUAGCUCUCUGUCUUGCUCUUUUUUUAAGCUAACUUAACAUACGGGAAAGCAUUUAUUUAAUUUUUUAGAUCUCGAUGUUCUGCACUAGUCUUUGAAGAAAGAGCUAGAUGGGGAGCGCAAGCUAACGCGUGAAGCGAGCCGCCUGGGGAGUACGAGCGCAAGCUUAAAACUCAAAGGAAUUGACGGGGACCUGCACAACCAGUGGAGCAUGUGGUUUAAUUCGAGACGAACCGAAGAACCUUACCUGGGUUUGACAUUCUAUUCUUAAUGCCUAUUUAGAAACAAAUUGGAACCGUAAUUUAUUAUGGAGGGUAGAACAGGUACUGCAUGGCUAUCGUCAGCUCGUGCCGUGGGGUGUUCCCUUCAGUGGGGUAACGAGCGCAACCCCUGCCGUAUGUUGAAUAUUCAUACGGGACUAUCCGUCGAUUGACGGGAGGAAGCGGGGACGACGUUAAGUCCGUAUGGUCUUUAUAUCCAGGGCUACACACAUGCUACAAUGGAGUCGACAAUGGGUCGCCAAGCCGUAAGGCGGAGCUAAUCCCAUCAAACGGCUUCUCAGUGGGGAUUGAGGGCUGCAAUUCGCCCUCAUGAACGUGGAAUUGGUAGUAAUCGCGAAUCAGCCAAGUCGCGGUGAAUACGUUCUCAGGUCUUGUACACACCGCCCGUCAAGUCAGCAAAGUUGGAGGCACCCGAACCUCGAGUGAUCGUGGGAAGGUGAAACCAGCGAUGAAGAUUAAGUCGUAACAAGGUAUCCGUACUGGAAGGUGCGGCUGGAUCACCUCCUU
rnacentral:rRNA from 1 species